rnacentral:rRNA from 1 species
ACACGCUGGCGGCGUGCCUAACACAUGCAAGUCGAGCGGGGUUGAAGCGAGGGGUAACUCGGACUUCUACCUAGCGGCGGACGGGUGAGUAACGCGUGGGCAACCUGCCUCAAGGUUUGGGAUAACAGCUCGAAAGGGCUGCUAAUACCGGAUAUGCCUGUGGCCUCGCAUGGGGCUAUGAGCAAAGGGGAAACCCGCCUUGAGAUGGGCCCGCGUCCCAUCAGCUAGUUGGUGAGGUGAAGGCUCACCAAGGCGACGACGGGUAGCCGGCCUGAGAGGGUGACCGGCCACACUGGGACUGAGACACGGCCCAGACUCCUACGGGGGGCAGCAGUGGGGGAUCUUGCACAAUGGGCGAAAGCCUGAUGCAGCGACGCCGCGUGAGCGAAGAAGGCCUUCGGGUUGUAAAGCUCUGUCUGGAGGGACGAAACAAAUGACGGUACCUCCGGAGGAAGCCACGGCUAACUACGUG